UUGAACGCUGGCGGCAGGCCUAACACAUGCAAGUCGAGCGGUAGCACAGAGAGCUUGCUCUCGGGUGACGAGCGGCGGACGGGUGAGUAAUGUCUGGGAAACUGCCUGAUGGAGGGGGAUAACUACUGGAAACGGUAGCUAAUACCGCAUAAUGUCGCAAGACCAAAGUGGGGGACCUUCGGGCCUCAUGCCAUCAGAUGUGCCCAGAUGGGAUUAGCUAGUAGGUGGGGUAACGGCUCACCUAGGCGACGAUCCCUAGCUGGUCUGAGAGGAUGACCAGCCACACUGGAACUGAGACACGGUCCAGACUCCUACGGGAGGCAGCAGUGGGGAAUAUUGCACAAUGGGCGCAAGCCUGAUGCAGCCAUGCCGCGUGUGUGAAGAAGGCCUUCGGGUUGUAAAGCACUUUCAGCGGGGAGGAAGGCGUUAAGGUUAAUAACCUUGGCGAUUGACGUUACCCGCAGAAGAAGCACCGGCUAACUCCGUGCCAGCAGCCGCGGUAAUACGGAGGGUGCAAGCGUUAAUCGGAAUUACUGGGCGUAAAGCGCACGCAGGCGGUCUGUCAAGUCGGAUGUGAAAUCCCCGGGCUCAACCUGGGAACUGCAUUCGAAACUGGCAGGCUAGAGUCUUGUAGAGGGGGGUAGAAUUCCAGGUGUAGCGGUGAAAUGCGUAGAGAUCUGGAGGAAUACCGGUGGCGAAGGCGGCCCCCUGGACAAAGACUGACGCUCAGGUGCGAAAGCGUGGGGAGCAAACAGGAUUAGAUACCCUGGUAGUCCACGCCGUAAACGAUGUCGAUUUGGAGGUUGUGCCCUUGAGGCGUGGCUUCCGGAGCUAACGCGUUAAAUCGACCGCCUGGGGAGUACGGCCGCAAGGUUAAAACUCAAAUGAAUUGACGGGGGCCCGCACAAGCGGUGGAGCAUGUGGUUUAAUUCGAUGCAACGCGAAGAACCUUACCUGGUCUUGACAUCCACAGAACUUUCCAGAGAUGGAUUGGUGCCUUCGGGAACUGUGAGACAGGUGCUGCAUGGCUAUCGUCAGCUCGUGUUGUGAAAUGUUGGGUUAAGUCCCGCAACGAGCGCAACCCUUAUCCUUUGUUGCCAGCGGUCCGGCCGGGAACUCAAAGGAGACUGCCAGUGAUAAACUGGAGGAAGGUGGGGAUGACGUCAAGUCAUCAUGGCCCUUACGACCAGGGCUACACACGUGCUACAAUGGCAUAUACAAAGAGAAGCGACCUCGCGAGAGCAAGCGGACCUCAUAAAGUAUGUCGUAGUCCGGAUUGGAGUCUGCAACUCGACUCCAUGAAGUCGGAAUCGCUAGUAAUCGUAGAUCAGAAUGCUACGGUGAAUACGUUCCCGGGCCUUGUACACACCGCCCGUCACACCAUGGGAGUGGGUUGCAAAAGAAGUAGGUAGCUUAACCUUCGGGAGGGCGCUUACCACUUUGUGAUUCAUGACUGGGGUG
rnacentral:rRNA from 1 species